GUUUACAUUAAAGACGACCAGGCCGUGUUGAAGUGGGAACGAGAAAACAACAUUGAGAUGUGACAGCACACAUUAUGGGAACAGCGAUGGUGAAUGUGCCAGUAAUCAAUCCAGCCUUGACUGUGAUGGAGAGAUUUCUGCCAACACGACACCUGGCACAGACACACCUGAACAGCAGAACACUACCCGGAACGGGACACCCCCUGCCAGCCCAAGAGGUAAGUGUUU